UGGGGAAUAUUGCACAAUGGGGGAAACCCUGAUGCAGCGACGCCGCGUGAACGAAGAAGGUAUUCGUAUCGUAAAGUUCUGUCCUAUGGGAAGAUAAUGACAGUACCAUAGAAGAAAGCUCCGGCUAAAUACGUGCCAGCAGCCGCGGUAAUACGUAUGGAGCGAGCGUUGUCCGGAAUUAUUGGGCGUAAAGGGUACGCAGGCGGUUUAAUAAGUCGAAUGUUAAAGAUCGGGGCUCAACCCCGCAAAGCAUUGGAAACUGAUAAAAUUGAGUAGUGGAGAGGAAAGUGGAAUUCCUAGUGUAGUGGUGAAAUACGUAGAUAUUAGGAGGAAUACCAGUAGCGAAGGCGACUUUCUGGACACAAACUGACGCUGGGGUACGAAAGCGUGGGGAGCAAACAGG
rnacentral:rRNA from 1 species